GACAGAGGUGCCAAGCGUUAGGCGGAAUCACUGGGCUUAAAGCGUGUGUAGGCGGUUCGUUAAGUACCUUGUGAAAUCCCACGGCUCAACCGUGGAACUGCUGGGUAUACUGGCGGUCUUGAGCCACCUAGGGGCAACUGGAACAAGCGGUGGAGCGGUGAAAUGCGCAGAUAUCGGGAAGAACACCCGUGGCGAAGGCGGCUCUCUGGGACGGUACUGACGCUGAGACACGAAGGCCAGGGGAGCAAACGGG
rnacentral:rRNA from 1 species